UACGGAGGGAGCUAGCGUUAUUCGGAAUUACUGGGCGUAAAGCGUACGUAGGCGGCUUUGUAAGUAAGAGGUGAAAGCCCGGAGCUCAACUCCGGAACUGCCUUUUAGACUGCAUCGCUUGAAUCCAGGAGAGGUGAGUGGAAUUCCGAGUGUAGAGGUGAAAUUCGUAGAUAUUCGGAAGAAACACCAGUGGCGAAGGCGGCUCACUGGACUGGUAUUGACGCUGAGGUACGGAAAGCAUGGGGAGCAAACAGGG
rnacentral:rRNA from 1 species